rnacentral:piRNA from 1 species
CCCCACGGGACUCAGCAGUGAUAAAA